GGAGUUAGCCGGUGCUUCUUCUGUGAGUGAUGUCCUUCCUGCCGGUUAUUGACCCGCAGGCCUUCUUCCUCACUGAAAGUGCUUUACAACCCGAAGGCCUUCUUCACACACGCGGCAUGGCUGGAUCAGGGUUGCCCCCAUUGUCCAAUAUUCCCCACUGCUGCCUCCCGUAGGAGUCUGGGCCGUGUCUCAGUCCCAGUGUGGCUGAUCAUCCUCUCAGACCAGCUACGGAUCGUCGCCUUGGUGAGCCGUUACCUCACCAACCAGCUAAUCCGACAUAGGCUCAUCCGAUAGCGCGAGGCCCGAAGGUCCCCCGCUUUCCCCCGUAGGGCGUAUGCGGUAUUAGCCUGGGUUUCCCCAGGUUAUCCCCCACUACCGGGCAGAUUCCUAUGCAUUACUCACCCGUCCGCCGCUCGCCACCAGGGAGCAAGCUCCCCGUGCUGCCGCUCGACUUGCAUGUGUUAGGCCUGCCGCCAGCGUUCAAUCUGAGCCAGAAUCGAACCCU
rnacentral:rRNA from 1 species